GGAGAUAAUAGCUCAGUUGUAGAGCACUUGCCUAGCAUGCUAGAGGCCCUGGAUUCAAUCCCCAGCACUG
rnacentral:tRNA from 1 species